UGAAUACGAGACGCUAAGGCGUCGAAGUAGUGUAUGUCAUACUUCCAAGAAAAGCUUGCACUGUCAUAAGUAAAAAAUGCCUGUACCAUAACCGACACAGGUGGGUAGGUAGAGUAUACUAAGGGGCGCGAGAUAACUCUCUCUAAGGAACUCGGCAAAAUGACUCCGUAACUUCGGGAGAAGGAGUGCCUUAUUUAUAAGGUUGCAAUAACAAGAUCCAAGCAACUGUUUAUCAAAAACACAGGUCUCCGCUAAGUCGUAAGACGAUGUAUGGGGGCUGACGCCUGCCCAGUGCCAGAAGGUUAAAGAAGUUGGUUAGUGUAUGCGAAGCUGAUGACUGAAGCCCUGGUGAACGGCGGCCGUAACGAUAACGGUCCUAAGGUAGCGAAAUUCCUUGUCGGGUAAGUUCCGACCCGCACGAAAGGCGUAAUGAUUUGGAUACUGUCUCGGAGAGAGGCUCGGUGAAAUAGACUUGUCUGUGAAGAUGCGGACUACCUGCACCAGGACAGAAAGACCCUAUGAAGCUUUACUGUAACUUGAAAUUGGAAUUGGACUUUGCUUGCGCAGUAUAGGUGGGAAGCGUUGAAGAUAUUCUUGCGGGAGUAUUGGAGCUAUCAGUGAGAUACCACUCUUGUAAUGUUAGAUUUCUAACUUUGAACCAUAAUCUGGUCAAAGAACAGUUUCAGGUGGGCAGUUUGACUGGGGCGGUCGCCUCCCAAAUGGUAACGGAGGCGUACAAAGGUUUCCUCUGAACGGAUAGAAAUCGUAUCUAGAGUGUAAAGGCAUAAGGAAGCUUGACUGUGAGACCUACAAGUCGAGCAGGGACGAAAGUCGGUCUUAGUGAUCUGACGGUACUGAGUGGAAAGGCCGUCACUCAACGGAUAAAAGUUACUCUAAGGAUAACAGGCUGAUCUCCCCCAAGAGUUCACAUCGACGGGGAGGUUUGGCACCUCGAUGUCGGCUCAUCGCAUCCUGGGGCGGUAGUACGUCCCAAGGGUUGGGCUGUUCGCCCAUGAAAGCGGUACGCGAGCUGGGUUCAGAACGUCGUGAGACAGUUCGGUCCAUAUCCGGUGUAGGCGUUAGAAUAUUGAGAGGAGCCUUCUUUAGUACGAGAGGACCGAGAAGGACACACCGCUGGUGUACCAGUUAUCGUGCCAACGGUAAACGCUGGGUAGCUAUGUGUGGAGUGGAUAACCGCUGAAAGCAUCUAAGUGGGAAGCCCACCUCAAGAUGAGUAUUCCC
rnacentral:rRNA from 1 species